GGAUCAGGUCGAUCAGCGGCAGAUCAUGGCCCUGAUACUUCUUGGCGAUCGACACGACCAGGCGCAGGUUCGAGUUGAUCAUCCGCUCCUUGGCCUGGAGGUCGCCCUGCUCGAUCCG
rnacentral:tRNA from 1 species